GCCCACUUGGGCCUCCCAAAGUGCUGGGAUUACAGGCGUGAGCCACCGCGCCCAGCAAUCAGUUUUCCUACUGAUGAUAUAAUGAUGAUAUAUUAAGCUAUAAAACCUGUUAUAAUAGUUAACGAUGGCUCCAGGGAAACUUUGUGAUAUAUAACAAACCAACAUAAUACGCUCUAGUUUGGAUAAUACUCUGCCAACUCUUUGCUAUGAAGUCCAACAAAAGGAAUUUAUUGUUGCCUCUCUCAAUAGUGAUUAGGAGGAUGAACUCAGAAGAAAGUAGAGAUGGAUUCUGUUCUGCCUCCUCCUCACUGUGUCAUGUUAGUUACUAAUCUUUAGGAACUUCGAGUUCCUUUUCUAUGAAAAGAUAUAUCGUCUAUUUUCACAUGGUUGAAAGAUUAAGGGAAAAGGUAUGCAGUGUAGAUGGUAGCUGUGUUUGGCAUGUAUAAGCUCUCGGUAAAUAACUGCUAGUAUUUUCUACAUUGAAUGCUGGAGAGGGAUGAAAUAAAAUAUCUUUUAUUCCU